CAGAAUUAAGGUAGUUUGGAUUAUAGCCUGCAUUCAGAAAUAAGAAUCACAGUCAAUAUUUCACUAUUUUGUCAAAAAAAGAACAUCAUCAAUAUUUCACUACAGAAAUAUUUAUGGAAUUAACUUGCUUAAGCACAUGAUGCUAAAAAGAAGAAUGAAAAUUUUGAAAUAUUACAUAAUUUCAACAAGAUAUUAAUAAAAGGAAGUACACAGUGCACGCUGAAAGUAGCUAAAGUACCAAAUCAUGAAUAUUGCCACUCAACCAAUUUAAUAAAGAUCAACCAACAUAUCCCCAAUUUCGAAGGUAGGUAGACUACAUAAAUCGUGUCAUAUAUCGUACCUAACUAACAUCACAUUACAAAUGGGUAACACUGACAUUAAUUCAACGACGAUUGCUUUUUUGAUAAUUAGAAAUUCUUAACAACAUAAGUAAAUUACUAAAAUACUCUCAGCGAGCUGGAUUUUUUGAUCUUUUACUUAUGUUCCUAGCAUAUUUUGAAUGUCAGAAGAGCAAUGGUCUAAUUCAACUAGGAAACAAAACCAUAUUUUAAGAAAAUCAAAGUAAAAAAACCUCGUCAAGGCGAUGUUGGGUUAUGUGACACAUAACCAAGAACCAAUACAGUGUCCAGAUUUUCCUUAACCUUAUCAUUCGUAUCAUAUUUGCGAAAUUCCUCAUGAGAAUCAACUUCAUGCAAUUCCCUUAAACUUGGAAAAACCGAAAGGGAACCAAUAGAGAACCCUUUAGCU
rnacentral:lncRNA from 1 species